CGGUGUGCUCAAUAUAAUUAUGAAGUAAAUAUCAUCGUAGAAUAUUAUAUAUCGGGAUAAUAUUUAGUAAUUUAUAAAUUAUUUUGGCAGUGUGAUCCUCUCUCUCCGCGACCAUGCUGUGAUUCAAGCCUUUCUUGCAAGUUGAAGAAAUCAAGAAGCGAGUUCGUGUGUGGAGAAAAAGCCAAACUAGGAGCCUCGUGCGUCUCAGAUGAAGACUGUUAUGAAAUAAUGCACGCGAAAUGCUCUUCGGAGAAGAAAUGUGUUUGCAGAGCGAACAAUCUCAGGUUAAACGAAACAUACUGUGCACCAUCAUUGGGAGGAUUUUGUUGGAAGAACGAGAAAUGCGUAACUAAAAAUGCUCUGUGCAUUGAUAAUGAGUGUCGUUGCAGGGAAAACUACUCAGUUAGCGAAGAUCAAUGCUUACCAGUUCUCAUAGGCUCGCAUUGCAGUUAUGAUAGAGAUUGUGCUAAAAUAAAAUUUGCAAAAUGCUCAGAAAAUAAUUAUUGCGUUUGUUCACUCAAUAC